UUGAUCAAGCUACAAAGAGCGCAUCAUGGAUGCCUUGGUGCCAAUAGGCGAUGAAGGACGUGGCAAGCUGCGAUAAGCUACGGAGAGCGGCAAACACGCUUUGACCCGUAGAUUUCCGAAUGGGAUAACCUGAGUGGGGUAACACCUGCUCGAGCUUCUGUGAAUCCAUAGCAGAAGCAUCGCGACACCCGGCGAAGUGAAACAUCUCAGUAACCGGAGGAAAAGAAAUCGAAAGAGAUUCCGUCAGUAGUGGCGAGCGAAAGCGGAAGAGGCUAAACCUGUCGAUUUAUCGAUGGGGGUUGUAGGAGCCCAACGUGGUAGUGUGAAGGUUAGGUGAAGCUUCUGGAAAGCUGCGCCAUAGAGGGUGAAAGGCCCGUAACCGAAAACUGGAGCAUGCCUAGGGAUUUCCUGAGUAAUACGAUGCACGUGAAACUUCGUAUGAAUCUGCGCCGACCACGGCGUAAGCCUAAAUACUCAUUGGCGACCGAUAGUGAACCAGUACCGCGAGGGAAAGGUGAAAAGAACCGCUGUGAGCGGAGUGAAAUAGUACCUGAAAUGAUGUGCUUACAAGGUGUCAAAGCCCAGCACUUUCUGAUUCAAUGCUAACGUGUUCUACGUUUAUGUAUUAAAGAAUCCGAAAACUGGAGCGUUAUACUACGGCUUUAGCAGCAACCUGAGGCACGUUUUGCCAAGCAUCAAGAGAUGCGGAAACACGCCGGAUGGGAGCUAGUUUAUUACGAAGCGUAUUUGAAUGAGCAAGACGCACGCGAUCGCGAGCGCAUGCUUAAACAUUACGGGGCCGCGAGAGGUCGUCUCAAGAGACGUAUAGCGCGCAGCACGGGGUUAGAAAGUGCUGGGUGAUGGCGUGCCUUUUGCUUAAUGAGUCUGCGAGUUACUAUCAGUGGCGAGCCUAAGGCGUUCUGCGCCGGAGGCGAAGCGAAAGCGAGUCCGAAAUGGGCGCCCUAGUCGCUGGUAGUAGACCCGAAGCGGAGGUGAUCUACCCAUGAGCAGGAUGAAGGUUGCUUAACCGCAACUGAAGGUCCGAACCCGUGAAGGUUGAAAACUUCUGGGAUGACUUGUGGGUAGGAGCGAAAGACUAAUCAAACCCCGUGAUAGCUGGUUCUCCCCGAAAUAGCUUGAGGGCUAG
rnacentral:rRNA from 1 species